CCCAGGGUACUCUUGAGGAGUAGCAGUAGGAGAUAUUAGAUAGAAGGAUUUAGAGUGGAGAAUUUUGUGUAGAGAAACAGAUAGAAAAAUACAGAAUAGCCUCGAGAGGGACUGGAACCUAUUCCAUCAGGCCCUGACAGUCUCUGCCCUAGGGUAUUUAUAGAAAUGCCAGGGGUUGGAGCAAAAGACAUACCGCCAGCAUAGCCAAGUGCAGACCAUCUUGGACACCUGCACUCAGGCCUGUGGUCCAAUCAUCCUUUCUAUGCAGACCUGCAAGGUAAAGCCAC